AUAAAUUCCCUCCUCGUAUAGAUUAUCAAAAUAAAUGAAGGACCCCUUCUCACAGUCAGGGCAUUGCUAGAGUUCUUGGCCUCCGUGCCAAAGUACGUACCCCCUCAACGGUGGCAGAACGGAUGGAAGGACACCUCGGUGUCUUUUGCCGGCGUGAGACACGGGUAUACAUGUACAGGUAACGCCACUGAUGUGGCACGCAUGUAAAUAUGGUACUUUUGGGGCAUGAUGUUGAUAUGGUGAAAAGUUCAGUGUUUGUUUGUAUGUGAUACAUGUACAGGAGUGUUGUCAAAGUCCGACUUGAGUGAAGUCUAAUUAGCCGAGUACAACACAAAACAAAAACGGAUAACUUAAACGAAGACCGUCGUUUUCGUUCAAUGUCUCAUUGGAUAGCACUUAAUAUUCAAUUGUUCAAUAUUCAAUGCACGGGGACACUCCGCUCUUUAAUAAACUACUUUGGUGCGCAUGUCGGCCUCAGGGCACACACAUCAGCUUGAUUCGUUUAUACACUGUUCAUUUGAUGAAGUGCGUAGCUCUCCCAGUAGUUCAGCCAGACGCCAGCGAAGGACGCCCAAGGAAAUCCAAUUAAGUUCCCAACCAGCAUAUGACAGGAUUAUUACGUAUGCCGUCCAUGACGACUGGCGAAGCCCCCCGAGACGAGAUCCGAUCCGAAGCGACGUCCGUGAAUCGUGUUAUUUUUCCAGCAUAAUCUUCUUCCCGUCCCACGCUACUACACUUUUUUUUCUGGGAUGCUGUUAAUUUAUGUAGAGGCAAUAUAGUGCGCUGACCAUGAUUUCACUGUUGUGUGUCAAAUUGGUGACGCGAAGGUCAGGCUGACAAAAUUAUGAAUGAAACUUUUGAUCGGGCAAAAGCAAAUUGUAGAUUGCGAACUCAGGGCAAAGCCUGCAAGCCAUUUGUGUUAACAUAGAGGCUGUAAUUACUGUAAUGUACACACUGUACAGAAAGGUUGAAUUAUAAAAGGGGGGAAAAGGGUUUUCUGGGAACUUUAGGAGCUCAAACUGUGACCGUUAAUUCGCGACCGACCCCCUUCUUUCAAAAUCGUCGAUCGUACCACGAUCUGACCUAUCUGAAUUUUUGACGAAUUUGGGUUUUUAGCAUAUUCUGGUUAUGCAUGAUGAAAUCUUUAUUUUCUGAAAAUUUCAAAUUCAUAAGUGGCCUAAUUAGCUCAUUAAGCUGAUUCGUGAAACGCGUAAACAACACUGUCAGUUUUCCACGAAGUGACUUAUAGAGUCUGGUACCUGGAUUUAAUGUGGUCCCCAUCACUUUCUUAUGAAAUUGAGUUACUAGGGGCCAGUCUUUAGCGUUAUCAGAAACAAUGGCGGCGUACACAUGUCGUUUGAUGGCUGAACGAAACUAGCAAGUUUCAACCGAGUUUCUGAUUCUGUAAACGUCUAAUGUGGAUGUCUCAGUGGUUAAUUGCAGCCAAAAGUUUAUACAGAGCACCAUUCGUCUACAUAAUUGAAUGAAGUUUUGAAAAAGCUUCGUUGAAAGGAAAGUGAUCGAUUCCUGGAGCAUGAAUAUUUUCGAUGUUUUGUGCUUGUUACUCCACAAUCUUUGAACCAGGAGCUGUUCCUUAGCCGUCACUGGUUUCACCUUUGAUCUACAUCCUUCACUAAUGCCAGACUUAUCUUGAAAUAUUAAGAGUUACCUCUUUUAUUGUCAGUUCUCGCACUAUUUCAUUUAUGCACCUAAAGUUUGAAGUAAAACUAAAAACUAAAAACAGUAAUUAAGAACAAAUAAAGGAAAUCCAUUGCUAAGAACGUUUCAAGUAAAGUCUUUAUUUUUAAAUUUGAAAGAUUGCUGAGAACAACUCUUUGCACUGCCUCUCUGUUGAACUCCUUACAUCAGACCUGCAUCAUGAUGGUCAUUCCCAGUUCAAACAUCAAGGCAGUACUUGUCUUUCUACAUAAUGAAUUUGUUUCUUAGAUUUACUUUUCUAUCCCUUGAGUGGCCCUUAAAUAUGGCCUGUUCUGAUAGUCGACUCUCAAAAAAAACAAA
rnacentral:lncRNA from 1 species